UACGUACCGUCCAACCGUUAUUCGGAUUUACUGGGCUUAAAGGGUGCGUAGGCGGCUCAGAAAGUAGGGUGUGAAAGCCCUCGGCUUAACCGAGGAAUUGCGCUCUAAACUACUGGGCUUGAGGAACGCAGAGGUAAGCGGAACUUACGGUGGAGCGGUGAAAUGCGUUGAUAUCGUAAGGAACACCAGGAGCGAAAGCGGCUUACUGGGCGUUUUCUGACGCUGAGGCACGAAAGCUAGGGGAGCGAACGGG
rnacentral:rRNA from 1 species